AAGUCGUAACAAGGUUUCCGUAGGUGAACCUGCGGAAGGAUCAUUAGAGAUGCCGCGAGGCUUGAUCAUACACACAUGCGUGAACCGGGGCGGAUGGUUGCCGUGGCUGACAUGUCAGCGACGGAGGACGGCCGCCCAGUUUUUACACCUUUUGUCUGGAAUGUAUACACAGUAACCGAAAAAACUUUCAACAACGGAUCUCUUGGCUCUC
rnacentral:misc_RNA from 1 species